rnacentral:snRNA from 1 species
AAUGCGCCAGUUUAGUCUA